rnacentral:lncRNA from 1 species
UUUACAUGGUCCAGUCGCAAGUAUAUCCCAAGAACAUCUAUUGCGGUGACCAUAUUCAUCUCUUUCUUCUAUAUAUAUGUCAAAAUAAUGAUCUCCUCCCAACCAUACAAAACGACAAAAGUACAGGGUCGCAUUAAUAAAAUAGUUAGGAUAAAACUUGAAACUAAAUGUUUGACCAACAUUGAGUUGUUGGAACCCUAGAUCACGGUGUUUAUCUUUGCAUCGAAGACCCAAAUAUCUUUCUACUAAGCGAUUAGUUAUAUCAACAGUCACUUUAGUUGGAAGAAAAGGAGCACCACCACCCUCACUCUCACCACACUCGAAUUGCACACCAACAAAUAUUACUAAGAACAAACAAACUAUUGCUCUCAUUUUAGACAUUAAAACCAUCAUUGCUCAAUUGUUUGAUAUUGUUUCUAAAGUUUGAGCUUCUUGUAAACAAAAUUAGGUAAGCACACCUAUAUAUACUACUUACAUAUUUUCUAACAAUUUAACAUCAGUGUUUAGAAUCUAUCUGCAAGCAAUAAAAGAAAAUAAAAAGCAGUUGAUUACCAAGUUUUCCCAUAACCAAGUUUUCCCAUCAUUAAAUUCUUCAAAGGUUCUCUAAAGAUCAAUUUUUUCCCAAUCCUCCAAUAGAGCUAAACCAAAUUGAACAUACAUCAAUCUAAUUCUGAAACUCACUCGAGUAAAGCAUGUGUGUCUACUAGUUUAAUCAACACCCACUUUGUUCCAUGUGUAUAAUCCAUGGGAUUGCUUAUCUCCUCCCUCUUGAAUCAUGUCCAAGGAUGUUGGAAAAUUAUUGUAGUUUAGAUUUUGUUAACAAUUUCCAACUUUCUAAAAUUCUUGUAUUUUGUAGAAGAUUUGCUUCCAAUGUUUAUGAGAUAUUGUAGAUUUAUUUUCUUUUUUCUUCUCUCAAUAUUUGUUUUCUGAUUUGGUUCAAGAAGCAACUACGUAUUUUUUUUCUAUUUGGCCCAUUUACAAAGGGAAAUACUUCCUCUAGAUAAUUUACUCUAAAAUCACAAAAUUAACAAAAAAAAUAACAAUUAAAACCCAAAUAAAUCUAAUUAUAUGAAUAUUAAUUAAAAUAAUAAAUUUAUUUAUUAUUAUAAUCAAUAAUUCAUUAUUAAAACUAUUGAAUGUAAAUAAAUAUAAUUAAUACUAAUUAAUACUAUUAAUGAUAACUAUAGUAACAUUAAUAUGAUUACGUAACCCAUUUACGAUUUCAACGCUCAUUGGAUUGCAAAAUUGAAACGUUUAAUUAAUUGUAAUUCUUUAAUGGUAACGUAUAAGAAAACGUACGGAGCAAUUAAUGCAAAAAAACAAUUCCUAAAAUCAACCACUAAUUAACAUUAAUUUCAAAUUCCAUUAAUAAUAACAGAAUUAACACACAUAAUCUAAAACACGCCUUGUUAAAAUAUUGUAAUUUAUAUGAUUAUUUAAUAUCCAUUAGUAUAUUGUUUAUAAUUUUAAUAUUGUUGAAGAGGUCACCUUAAUUAAAUUAAUUAAAUUGAGUAAUAUAAUUAUUUUAAAAAAUAUUUAGUAUAUUCAUAUAACAUGAGAUAUUCCAUUAAAUAAAUAAAUAAUUCAUCUAAAUAAAUAAGGGAUUUAAGCAAGCAAACGUAAAAGUGUUAAACAAUAGUAAAUUAUUCAUAACUAUUUACAUUAGUUGGUAGAAAAAGUACAGAAACUUACAUGUGCACUUAGUAUAUAUAGGUCUAUUUACCUUACUUUCAAUACAAGAAAUUCAAAAUUUAGACAUCAUGAUGAUUUUAGUGUCCAAAAUUACAGCAAUACUUUGUUUAUUGUUAACAAUAUUUUUUGGUGUGCAAUUAAAGUGUGGUGAGAGUAUUGCUCCUAUUCUUUCCACUAGAGUGACCGUUGAAAUAACUAAUCGCUUAGUAGAUAGAUAUUUAGCUGUUCAAUGCAAAGAUAAACACAAUGAUUUCGGGGUGCAACAAUUUAAUGUUGGUGAAACAUUUAGUUUUAGGUUUUUUCCUAAGUAUUAUUAUCCUUCUACCUUGUUUUUUUUUGUCAUUUUAUAUGGUUGGAAGGAGAUCAUUAUUUUGAUAUAUAUGUCCAAAACCAAGAUGGAUUCUGUCAUCAAAAUAAGUGUGUUUGGGACAUAGUUGUCAAAGGACCAUGUAAGAUGAAUACGGGACUUCGAGAUCAAAUUAACUUCUUCCGACCAUAAUCUAUAAGGAUAUGAUUAGCAGACUACCAAUUCAUUCCCAAUAUAACCUCCAAAUCUUUUAGAGGUAUAUAAUUCAUGUUGAUUUUGUAUCUAUGCUCAUCUAUAAUUACUGGACACUCAGCACACAUGGAAGAAGUUACUAUAAUACCUUGUGUUGGUGUAGAUACCACCAACUCAAUUUCUAACUCUCGGACUGGCAACUUAAGUUUCCUAGCACAAUCAAAAGAUAUAAAAGAAUGGGUUGCCCUAGAAUCAAACAAUACAGAUAAUGUGUUCCAAGGAUAGAACAAAUACCUCUAACAAGGCUAUCGAACUGCGAAGCUUUAGCUCCACUAAUGGCAAAAACUCUAGCAGUAGCUCUAGGUUUGUGAUUAUUAUUUGGGACUGGAAGUCUGUCACGACAGUCCUUCGUAGCAUGACCAUAUCUAUGGCAUCUAACACAUGUAAUGUUUGGCACUGGAUGAGGACAAAAUUUAACUAUGUGUUCCCCACCACAUCUAAAACAUUUGACAUUUGGUAGCAACUGAGAAGUAGGCCCUCCACUCCUGAAGGAUUGAGGUCUGGAAUAAGGCUUCUUUUUAUCUUCAUAUUUGGGUGUGCUUCUAGAAGGUCCUCCCACUUGAGGCUUAGAAAGUCUGCUACUACUUUUCAAACUCUCCACUACUUUUGCUUUCUCCACUAGAACAGGGAAAUCUCUAAUAGACAUAGGAAUCACCACUUCUUUAAGCUCUUGCUUCAACCCAAACUCAAAUUUUCUACAUCUUCAAGCCUCAGUAGCUAGGUGUUUGAACCUAGUAGCAUAUUCAGUGACUGAAAGAUUUCCUUGUUCCAAUUGCAUGAAUUCAAUUUCUUUUGCAUAUCUGACACUAUCAGGAAAAUACUCCUCUAGGAAUCUUACUUUGAAGUUCUCCCAAGUGGCAUCUUCUCCUCUGUCUUCCAUCAUUUGUUUCAUGCCUAUCCACCAGAAUUCAGCUUCUUCAGUUAGUACAUAAAUGGCAUAGGAUAACUUUCUCUCUUCAGGGCAUUGAGUAGCUUCAAAGAUUCUUUCUAUGUCUCUCACCCACUGGUCUGCUUCAUCUGGAUUUACCUUCCCAUUAAACUUGGGGGGAUUGUGUCUCAGAAAAUCUUCCAAACUAAAGUUAUGGGGUUGUUGAUGAAGUUGAGACGCUUCAGCUGCUAAUCUAGUUGUUUCUAAUUGAUGAAGGCGGCUUGAUGUUGUUGUGCCAUAGUAGCACUCUGUUGUUGCAAGGCUGUUGUCAUCAUCUCUAUUGCCCGAGCUAAGUUGGGCAUAUCUACUGGUGGAGGAGGAGUAUGUGGUCUACGUGCCAUCUACUAAGCACAUAAAGAAUUGGGUUAAAAAUUACUAAAUAUUUCCAACUACAUCUUUAAGACAAAUUAACUUAAAAGAAUUACUCAUAGACUUAUAUUCAAAGUAAUAUUAAUAAUUAAUAUUAAUAUUAAUUAUAAUAUUAUUAUUAUUAUUAAAUUAUGAAUACUAAUAUGUAGGUCCACAUCUUGACAAGAGUGUUAAAUUAUUUUAGAAAAUUUUGAUUUAAUUAGUUUUAAUUUAAUUUUUAUUGGAACUUUAAUUAUAUAUAUAUGUAUAAUCUUUAUUUCAAAUGGUAAAUCCUAUCAUUCAAGGAUUCUAUUUUAUUAUGAUUAAAAGCAGUAGAAUUUUAAAGAUUUUACCAAUUUAUGUAUAUACAUUGAAUGUAGAAAAUGAGAAAGAAUAAGAAUUAUUUUUUUAUUAUUGAGAAAUUUUAACAAAAUUUUCAGAGAUAAUUAGUUUGAUAAGUAUGUCGCAAUUUUUCUCGUUAUAUAUUAAAAAAAUAAUUUUUCUCUAAUCAUACAAAAUGAUAAAAGCACAAUAUUGUAGCUAAAAAUAUUUAAGAUAAAACUUAAAACUAUAUGCUUAGUCAACAAACGUUUUUUUUUUAUCUUUGCAUUGAAAAAAGUCAAAUAUACUUCAAUUACACAAAAAAAAAAUAUAAAAUAGUGUCAUAAUUUUAGACAUUAAAAUCAUCUUAAUUGUUUGAUAUUCUUCCUUUAAAGCUUGAACUUCUUGUGAACAAAAUCAGGUAGAUACAACUAUAUAUACUAAUAUAUAUAUUAAGUACAUACUUUAAAUAAUAAUAAAAAUAAAUAAAUAAGAUUUCUAAUAAUAUUAAUAAUAUUAACAAUAACAAUAUAAUAUUAUAUGAAUGAUACUAUUCAUUUUAUUAUUAUUAUUAUUAUUAUUAAUAUAUUAUUAUAAUUAUUACUAUUAAAAUAUUAAUAUUACUUUGAAAGAAUUAUAUUCUAGUUGAAAAUGGAAAACACUUAAUGCUUUAUUAAGAUUAACAGUAGCAAAAAUUUAAAAUUAUCUUGCUAAUUUAUUUAUCUAUACUAAAUGUAUGUAUAUAAGAAGAAAGAAUAAGAAUUAUUUUUUUAUUCUCUUAAAGUGUUUUUCAUUUUUGUUUGAAUAUAAUUCUCUUAAAUAUAUAUUUUUUGUUUGAAUAUAAUUCUUUUAAAUAUAUAAUUGGAUUGAAAUAUUAUCUUCGAUAUUAUGAUAUUUAAUUAAUAUAAAUUUUAUGUUCUAACAUUUUUGAAUAAAUCUAACCUAUUAAUAUAAAAAUAUGUUUUUUCUUCAAAUAAAUUCAUACAAACAUUAUGCAAUAUUAUGAUUAGUGUAUAAUGUUCACAGUAGUGUUCAUUGUAGCGUAAAAUAUGUGAUAUUAUUUCAAAUAUUUCACAACCUAGAUGAUUUAUUAUUUUUAUUGAUUAUUGUAAAAGGAUAAAAUGACUUUUUCUCAUAAAAGAAAAAAUCUUAGGUAAAUUUUGUUGUUACGCAAAUUGUGUCUCUGAUUACAAAUCAAUUUACAAAUUUACACUAUAAGAAAAUUAUUAAAUAGAAAUCAAUUUUAGAGACAAAAAAAUAUUUAGUUGUUAUAUUGACUAAAUUAAAAACCGUUUUAUAGACUAUAAAAUUUUUUGGUUUCUAAAAUAAUUUUUAUUAUUGUUAAAUAGUUUCUAAAUUUGUAUCUAAUUAGCCACAAAGUUUUGGUAGCAAAAACUUUGGUAGUUAAUUAGAUACCAAUUUAUAAAUUAUUUAACAAUAAUAGAAACUAUUUUAGAAAAAAAAAAUUAGUCUCUAAUUUAGUUGCUAUAGUAAGUAAUUAUUUUUUGUCUCUAAAAUUGGUUUCUAUUUAAUGAAUUUUUUAUAGUGUUAGGAUGGUUAUUAAGAAAUUUAGGAUGAAUCAUUAAUCAUCAUGUGUUUAUACACCCUCAACAAAAUGGAGUUAUUGAACGAAAAAAUUGAAAUAUUAUAGAAUAAACUAUAACUUCUCUUUUAAACUAAUGUUCCAAAAAGAUUUUAAAGAGAAUAAUUCUCACUAUCACUUAUUUAAUUAUCAUGUUCAAACAAUAAAUGAGAAACUUAUCCAAGAACACUUAAAUGCAUUUUCUUAGAUACUAUGUAAAAAAAAAUGUUUCUUAGGAUACUAUGUCACAAAAAAAAUGUAUAAAUGUUUUCAUCCUUCUUCCAAUUUUUUGGUAUCACAUGUAUAAAAGUUAGUUAUUUUCAUCAUCAUCAUUUGGGAAUGGGAAAUGAUGAACAUGUGGAUUAUUUUAUAUUUUCCAAUCUUGUUUUUUAAAAGAUAAAGGAGUAAUAUCAUAGCAGUGAAACUAAAACUAUUGAGAGAAAAAUGAGUGAUAUCAUUAUUAAUAUUAUUAUUAUUAAUAUUAUUAAGAAUAUUAAGAAUAUAGAUGUAUAGAUAAAUUAUUACGAAUUUGUUUUCAUAUAUAAUAUUAAUAAUAAUAUUGUUAAUGUAUAAUAACAAUAUUAAUAUAAAUAAUAAUAUUAAUAUGAUAUUAUUGUUAUUAGUAUUAUCGUUAAUAUCGAUAUUAUUAUUGUUAUUGUUAUUUUGUGGACAACAUAGAUGAUGGAUUGAAUUUGGUUAUGGGUCUUGUUAUAUAUUUGUCAGUAAUAAUAAGUAUGUAAUGAUUAAUUUAAUUGUGGAUAUAGAUAUGUGGAUAAUUUAUUUAUGUAUAUAGAUAAAUUUAUGUAUAUAUUCAAUGGUAAUCAUCCAGAUCUAAUGUUUAAUUUACUUAUAGAUUUUAUAUUUAUUUGUAGUAGUUCAUUGGGAAAAUUUUAAAAUUUAUUGUAGUGAAUAAUUUUGAAAAAUUUAUAGUCCAACUGGAAAUGAAAAACUCGUGUUCACCAAUUUCAGAGGAAGUGUUAAAUUUUUUUAGGAUAUUUCAUAUGUGUAUUUUCCUAGUUUUAGUUGUACCAUAUUAGUUUUUUAUUUAGUUUGUAUUGGAGUUUUUAUUUUAUAUAUUUUAUCUUUAUUUCAAAUUAUAAAUCUUAUAAUUUAAGGGUAUUAUUUUAUUAAAAUUAAAAGUGAUAGAAUUCCAAAAAUAUUUUACUUAUUUAUCUAUAUAUAUUCAAUAUAUGUAGGUAAUGAGAAAUAGUAAGAAUUAUUGUCUUUUAUUAUUGAGAAAUAUUCAUAAAUUAUUAGGAAAGAUGAAAAUGUUACAUAAAUAAAGUAUUAUUACUUUUUUUGAGAAGCAAUCUUUUUCUUGCAGCAGGUGAAGUCCAUUUAAAGCACUGUUGAGGUCCUGGGUUGUAUUUACAUGGUCCAGUUGCAAAUAUAUCCCAAGAACAUCUAUUGUGGUGACCAUAUUCAUCUCUUUCUUCGACAUAUAUGUCAAAAUGAUGAUCUCCUCCCGACCAUACAAAAUGACAAAAGUACAAGGUCGCAUUAAUAAAAUAGUUAGGAUAAAACCUGAAACUAAAUGUUUGACCAACAUUGAGUUGCUGCAACCCUAGAUCAUGGUGUU